UACGGGGGGGGCAAGCGUUGUUCGGAAUUACUGGGCGUAAAGGGCUCGUAGGCGGCCAACUAAGUCAGACGUGAAAUCCCCUCGGCUUAACCGGGGGAACUGCAUUCGUGAUACUGGUUGGCUUGGAGUGUGGGAGAGGGAUGUGGAAUUCCAGGUGUAGCGGUGAAAUGCGUAGAUAUCUGGAGGAACACCGGUGGCGAAGGCGGCAUCCUGGACCACGACUGACGCUGAGGAGCGAAAGCCAGGG
rnacentral:rRNA from 1 species